UACAGAGGGCUCAAGCGUUGUUCGGAUUCAUUGGGCGUAAAGGGUGCGUAGGCGGCGCGGUAAGUCGGGUGUGAAAUCUCGGAGCUUAACUCCGAAACUGCAUUCGAUACUGCCGUGCUUGAGGACUGGAGAGGAGACUGGAAUUUACGGUGUAGCGGUGAAAUGCGUAGAUAUCGUAAGGAAGACCAGUGGCGAAGGCGGGUCUCUGGACAGUUCCUGACGCUGAGGCACGAAGGUGAGGGGAGCAAACGGG
rnacentral:rRNA from 1 species